rnacentral:rRNA from 1 species
UUUGAUCCUYGCMYWGGAUGAACGCUAGCGGCAGGCCUAAUACAUGCAAGUCGAACGGUAAGUUGAAUAGCAAUAUUUGACCUAGAGUGACGUACGGGUGCGUAACACGUAUGCAACCUACCCAAAACAGGAGGAUAGCUCGGGGAAACUCGAAUUAACCCUCCAUGAGAUAGUGGUGUGGCAUCACACAGCUAUUAAAACUCAGGUGGUUUUGGAUGGGCAUGCGUCUGAUUAGUUAGUUGGCGGGGUAACGGCCCACCAAGACGAUGAUCAGUAGGGGAACUGAGAGGUUGAUCCCCCACACUGGCACUGAGAUACGGGCCAGACUCCUACGGGAGGCAGCAGUAGGGAAUAUUGGUCAAUGGAUGCAAGUCUGAACCAGCCAUGCCGCGUGCAGGAAGGAGGCCUUCUGGGUUGUAAACUGCUUUUGCCAGGGGAUAAAAUAUCCUUGCGAGGGUAAUUGAAGGUACCUGGUGAAUAAGCCACGGCUAACUACGUGCCAGCAGCCGCGGUAAUACGUAGGUGGCAAGCGUUGUCCGGAUUUAUUGGGUUUAAAGGGUGCGUAGGCGGUUUUGUAAGUCAGUGGUGAAAUAUAGCAGCUUAACUGUUAGGGUGCCAUUGAUACUGCAGAACUUGAGUACAGAUGAGGUAGGCGGAAUUGACGGUGUAGCGGUGAAAUGCUUAGAUAUCGUCAAGAACACCUAUAGCGAAGGCAGCUUACUAGGCUGUAACUGACGCUGAGGCACGAAAGUGUGGGGAUCAACAGGAUUAGAUACCCUGGUAGUCCACACUGUAACGUUGAUUACUCGCUGUG